rnacentral:misc_RNA from 1 species
CAGAGUUCAUGCCCUCACGGGUAGGUCUCCCACCCUUGAAUACUAUACCUUUGUUGCUUUGGUGGGCCGCCUCGGCUACUGGCUUCGGCUGGUAAGUGCCCGCCAGAGGACCCCAAACUCUGAAUGUUAGUGUCGUCUGAGUACUAUAUAAUAGUUA